rnacentral:rRNA from 1 species
UACGGAGGGUGCAAGCGUUAUCCGGAUUCACUGGGUUUAAAGGGUGCGUAGGCGGGCAGGUAAGUCAGUGGUGAAAUCCCCGAGCUCAACUUGGGAACUGCCGUUGAUACUAUCUAUCUUGAAUGUUGUGGAGGUGAGCGGAAUAUGUCAUGUAGCGGUGAAAUGCUUAGAUAUGACAUAGAACACCAAUUGCGAAGGCAGCUCGCUACACAAUUAUUGACGCUGAGGCACGAAAGCGUGGGGAUCAAACAGG